GAAACCAACAGGGAUUGCCCUAGUAACGGCGAGUGAAGCGGCAACAGCCUCAAAUUUGAAAUCUGGCUUCGGCCCGAGUUGUAAUUUGCAGAGGAAGCUUUAGGCGCGGCACCUUCUGAGUCCCCUGGAACGGGGCGCCACAGAGGGUGAGAGCCCCGUAUAGUUGGAUGCCUAGCCUGUGUAAAGCUCCUUCGACGAGUCGAGUAGUUUGGGAAUGCUGCUCAAAAUGGGAGGUAAAUUUCUUCUAAAGCUAAAUACCGGCCAGAGACCGAUAGCGCACAAGUAGAGUGAUCGAAAGAUGAAAAGCACUUUGAAAAGAGGGUUAAAUAGCACGUGAAAUUGUUGAAAGGGAAGCGCUUGUGACCAGACUUGCGCCAGGCUGAUCAUCCGGUGUUCUCACCGGUGCACUCUGCCCGGCGCAGGCCAGCAUCGGUUCUCGCGGGGGGAUAAAGGCCCCGGGAACGUAGCUCCUCCGGGAGUGUUAUAGCCCGGGGCGUAAUGCCCUCGCGGGGACCGAGGACCGCGCAUCUUGCAAGGAUGCUGGCGU
rnacentral:rRNA from 2 species